UACGAAGGGGGCUAGCGUUGUUCGGAAUUACUGGGCGUAAAGCGCGCGCAGGCGGCUAUCCAAGUCAGUGGUGAAAGCCCGGAGCUCAACUCCGGAACUGCCAUUGAAACUGUUAGACUUGAGGACGAGAGAGGUGAGUGGAAUUCCCAGUGUAGAGGUGAAAUUCGUAGAUAUUGGGAAGAACACCGGUGGCGAAGGCGGCUCACUGGCUCGUAUCUGACGCUCAGGCGCGACAGCGUGGGGAUCAAACAGG
rnacentral:rRNA from 1 species